rnacentral:rRNA from 2 species
UCUAUACGGUGAAACUGCGAAUGGCUCAUUAAAUCAGUUAUCGUUUAUUUGAUAGUACCUUACUACAUGGAUACCCGUGGUAAUUCUAGAGCUAAUACAUGCUAAAAACCUCGACUUCGGAAGGGGUGUAUUUAUUAGAUAAAAAACCAAUGCCCUUCGGGGCUCUCUGGUGAUUCAUAAUAACUUCUCGAAUCGCAUGGCCUUGCGCCGGCGAUGGUUCAUUCAAAUUUCUGCCCUAUCAACUUUCGAUGGUAGGAUAGUGGCCUACCAUGGUGGCAACGGGUAACGGGGAAUUAGGGUUCGAUUCCGGAGAGGGAGCCUGAGAAACGGCUACCACAUCCAAGGAAGGCAGCAGGCGCGCAAAUUACCCAAUCCCGAUACGGGGAGGUAGUGACAAUAAAUACUGAUACAGGGCUCUUUUGGGUCUUGUAAUUGGAAUGAGUACAAUUUAAAUACCUUAACGAGGAACAAUUGGAGGGCAAGUCUGGUGCCAGCAGCCGCGGUAAUUCCAGCUCCAAUAGCGUAUAUUAAAGUUGUUGCAGUUAAAAAGCUCGUAGUUGAACCUUGGGCCUGGCUGGCCGGUCCGCCUCACGGCGUGCACUGGUCCGGCUGGGUCUUUCCUUCUGGGGAGCCCCAUGGCCUUCACUGGCUGUGGGGGGAACCAGGACUUUUACUGUGAAAAAAUUAGAGUGUUCAAAGCAGGCCUUUGCUCGGAUACAUUAGCAUGGAAUAAUAGAAUAGGACGUGUGGUUCUAUUUUGUUGGUUUCUAGGACCGCCGUAAUGAUUAAUAGGGAUGGUCGGGGGCGUCAGUAUUCGGCUGUCAGAGGUGAAAUUCUUGGAUUUGCCGAAGACUAACUACUGCGAAAGCAUUCGCCAAGGAUGUUUUCAUUAAUCAGUGAACGAAAGUUAGGGGAUCGAAGACGAUCAGAUACCGUCGUAGUCUUAACCAUAAACUAUGCCGACUAGGGAUCGGACGGUGUUUUUAUGAUGACCCGUUCGGCACCUUACGAGAAAUCAAAG